rnacentral:rRNA from 1 species
GGAUCAUUACAGAGUUUUUAGGUGUGGUUAGAAAUAACCCGCCGAGCCUCCAACCCUUAUGUUGUUAACCUCUUGUUGCCUCCUGGGGAAGGGAGAAAUCCCCCACCCAGGCUGGAUAUCAAUACUCUGUUUUACAAUAUCAGUCCGAGUAAAAAUUUAAAUUUAUUUUAAAACUUUCAACAACGGAUCUCUUGGUUCUGGCAUCGAUGAAGAACGCAGCGAAAUGCGAUAAGUAAUGUGAAUUGCAGAAUUCAGUGAAUCAUCGAAUCUUUGAACGCACAUUGCGCCCUCUGGUAUUCCGGGGGGCAUGCCUGUUCGAGCGUCAUUACACCAAUCAAGCCUCGCUUGGUAUUGGAGGUGGUGGUUAAGAAAUUGACUGCCUCUCUUGAAGUCUUCCGGCUGGUUAUUAUCUAAAACCCUCAGCGUUGUGGAAACAUUCUCGCUCAUGUGGUUAAGGGAUUACCUCCGCCGUUAAACAUUCUUUUUUAUCAGGUUGACCUCGGAUCAGGUAGGGAUACCCGCUGAACUUAAGCAUAUCAAUAAGCGGAGGAAAAGAAACCAACAGGGAUUGCCCUAGUAACGGCGAGUGAAGCGGCAACAGCUCAAAUUUGAGAUCUGGCGCUUCCAGCGUCCGAGUUGUAAUUUGUAGAGGAUGCUUCUGGUUAACCACCGGUCUAAGUUCCUUGGAACAGGACGUCACAGAGGGUGAGAAUCCCGUAUGUGAUCGGUCGGUUGCCUCUACGUAGCUCCUUCGACGAGUCGAGUUGUUUGGGAAUGCAGCUCUAAAUGGGAGGUAAAUUUCUUCUAAAGCUAAAUAUCUGCCAGAGACCGAUAGCGCACAAGUAGAGUGAUCGAAAGAUGAAAAGCACUCUGGAAAGAGAGUUAAAAAGCACGUGAAAUUGUUGAAAGGGAAGCGUUUGCAAUCAGACUUGUCGGCGGUGUUCCCCUGAGCUUUUGCUUGGGUCACUCAUCGUCUGCAGGCCAGCAUCACCUGUUGCCGUGGGAUAAUAACUCUGGAAUGUAGCUCCUCGGAGUGUUAUAGCCAGUGUUGAUACCACGAGCGGCGGGUGAGGUCCGCG